CACGUAGGGCGCAAGCGUUGUCCGGAAUUAUUGGGCGUAAAGAGCUCGUAGGCGGUCUGUUGCGUCCGCUGUGAAAACUCGGGGCUUAACCCCGAGCCUGCAGUGGAUACGGGCAGACUAAAGGUAGGUAGGGGAGAAUGGAAUUCCCGGUGUAGCGGUGAAAUGUGUAGAGAUCGGGAGGAACACCGGUGGCGAAGGCGGUCUUCUGGACGGUGACUGACGCUGAGGCACGAAAGCGUGGGUAGCAAACAGG
rnacentral:rRNA from 1 species